GGGGACGCCCCGGGAAAGGCAGCCUCUGUGUGUCCCAGGUCGUCUCCUGCGACCGCGCUUUGCCCCUGCCCCCAGGGCUGGAAGAGAGCACCGGCACCGGGCACUUGAUGGAAGCUGCACCCAUCGCGAGACAGCCUGCCCUUGGGCACUGGGCCCACCGACCACACAGGACAGUCCGCCCUUGGCCUGACUCUAAGGCUUGUCUGCACCCCUGCGAUGGCAGCCAUCCUCUUGAAGGCCAGACCCAAGGUGAGUGGGGCUCCCUGAUUGUCUCCAUCUGCCGCCUCCACGUG
rnacentral:lncRNA from 1 species